rnacentral:piRNA from 1 species
UGACAAUCCACCUGUCCCAUACUGCUAC